ensembl:lncRNA novel transcript, sense overlapping MORC3
UGCUGUAAGGAAGCUCAUAGGGAGAGUAGUUCUGUCUGGUGGGCAGGAGAGCAGAAAUAGAUCAGGAAACUUCAUGAAGGAGGUCAUUUUUGUAAUAGGCCUUGAAGGAUGGGUACGAUGAGAAUGUACAGGGAAUAAACAUUUACUCAGUGUAGCUAGAGUAUGUGAAUGGGAAUAAUGGAAAAUGGAUGUGGCACUUUGGGAGGUUGAGGCGGGUGGAUCACCUGAGGUCAGGAGUUCGAGACCAGCCUGGCCAAUGUGGUGAAACCCUGUCUCUACAAAAAACACAAAAAUUAGCCGGGCAUGGUGGUGGACGCCUGUAAUCCCAGCUACUCGGGAGGCUGAGGCAGGAGAAUUGCUUGAACCCGGGAGGCAGAGGUUGCAGUGAGCCGAGAUUACAUCACUGCACUCCAUCCUGGGCAAGACUCCCUCUCAAAAGAAAAAACCUAUGUGAUGUUCUAGUUCAAAAGCCUGUGAUUCUGGACUGAGUUAUCUGGUCUUAGUGGAGAAAAAAACACCAAAGAUCUGCAGUUUAUACCGGUGAGGAUGGAAAAAUUCAGGCUAAAAUUAGGGUGCUACUGAGAUAAAAGGUAGAA